rnacentral:rRNA from 1 species
AAACCUGAGAAACCCGAAAGAUCGAAUGGGGAGAUUCAUCGUCAGCGAUUCCGGUGCGUGUGCGGUUCGCGAUGUCUGAGACCUCGGUCUCGCGGCACGGUCCGUAUGUUUUUAUUGCUGGAAUCGUCGGCGUGCACUUCUCCCCUAGUAGGACGUCGCGACCCGUUGGGUGUCGGUCUACGGCACGGUAGGGUAGCCUGUCACGUGUGCGCUUCACGGCGUUACGCGGGGCAGACCUCCGUUCGCCCGACCGGCUGCCCGGCGGUACUCGCAAGGUAUCUGGCCGCAGACAUACGAACUGCGUCCGGCCCGUCGCAAGCGCGGCGAGUGUCCCGGCUGUACGGAUCCAAUGCCGUCACCGAGCCUCGCCAGCUGUUGGCUGACGGUGUCCUAGGACUGGCUAUAGAUACCGGUCAGCGACGCUACUGCUUUGGCUACUUUCAGGACCCGUCUUAAAACACGGACCAAGGAGUCUAACAUGUGCGCGAGUCAUUGGGAACUAUUAAGCCUAAAGGCGCAAUGAAAGUGAAGGUCGGCCUUGCGCCUUUCGAGGGAGGAUGGGCCGCGUCACGAUGCGGUCCCGCACUCCCGGGGCGUCUCGUUCUCAU